rnacentral:rRNA from 1 species
CCUACGGGAGGCAGCAGUGAGGAAUAUUGGUCAAUGGGCGUACGCCUGAACCAGCCAAGUCGCGUGAGGGAAGACUGCCCUAUGGGUUGUAAACCUCUUUUGUCAGGGAGCAAAUGGCGCUACGUGUAGCGUUAUCGAGAGAACCUGAAGAAAAAGCAUCGGCUAACUCCGUGCCAGCAGCCGCGGUAAUACGGAUGAUGCGAGCGUUAUCCGGAUUUAUUGGGUUUAAAGGGUGCGUAGGCGGACUGCCAAGUCAGCGGUAAAAUCGCGGGGCUCAACCUCGCUCCGCCGUUGAAGCUGGCGUUCUUGAGUGGGCGUGAAGUAUGCGGCAUGCGUGGUGUAGCGGU